CUACGGGGUGCACCAGUCGAGAAUAGUCUACAAUGGACGAAAGUCUGAUAGUGCGACGCCGCGUGGAUGAAGAAGCAUUUCGGUGUGUAAAGUCCUUUUCUGUGUGAGCAAUGUUUUCCAGGUUAGUAGCUUGGAGAAAGCUAUAUUAACACAGGAAUAAGCUCCGGCUAACUCCGUGCCAGCAGCCGCGGUAACACGGGGGGAGCAAGCGUUGUCCGGAAUUACUAGGCGUAAAGGGUAAGUAGGCGGAAUUGUAAGUCAGAUGUUAAAGGCACCGGCUCAACCGGUGUAUGGCAUUUGAUACUGUAAUUCUAGAGUAAGGUGGGGGAAGACGGAAUUCCUGGUGUAGCGGUGGAAUGCGCAGAUAUCAGGAGGAACACCAGAGGCGCAGGCGGUCUUCUAUACCAUUACUGACGCUCAAUUACGAAGGUGUGGGUAUCAAACAGGAUCAGAUACCCCGGUAGUC
rnacentral:rRNA from 1 species